GUGCUCACUUCGGCAGCACAUAUACUAACAGCGGAACGAUACAGAGAAGAUUAGCACGGCCCUCGUGCCAGGAUGACAUGCAAAUUUGUGAGUCGUUCCAUAUUUAA
ensembl:snRNA U6 U6 spliceosomal RNA